rnacentral:rRNA from 1 species
CCUACGGGAGGCAGCAGUGAGGAAUAUUGGUCAAUGGACGAGAGUCUGAACCAGCCAAGUAGCGUGAAGGAUGACUGCCCUAUGGGUUGUAAACUUCUUUUAUAUGGGAAUAAAACGUUCCACGUGUGGGAUUUUGUAUGUACCAUAUGAAUAAGGAUCGGCUAACUCCGUGCCAGCAGCCGCGGUAAUACGGAGGAUCCGAGCGUUAUCCGGAUUUAUUGGGUUUAAAGGGAGCGUAGGUGGAUUGUUAAGUCAGUUGUGAAAGUUUGCGGCUCAACCGUAAAAUUGCAGUUGAAACUGGCAGUCUUGAGUACAGUAGAGGUGGGCGGAAUGCGUGGUGUAGCGGUGAAAUGCUUAGAGAUCACGAAGAACUCCGAUUGCGAAGGCAGUUCACUGGACUGCAACUGACACUGAGGCUCGAAAGUGUGGGUAUCAAACAGGAUUAGAUACCCUGGUAGUC